rnacentral:rRNA from 1 species
CAGCCGCCACGGUAAUACGGAGGGUGCAAGCGUUAAUCGGAAUUACUGGGCGUAAAGCGCACGCAGGCGGUUUGUUAAGUCAGAUGUGAAAUCCCCGAGCUUAACCUGGGAACUGCAUUUGAAACUGGCAAGCUAGAGUCUUGUAGAGGGGGGUAGAAUUCCAGGUGUAGCGGUGAAAUGCGUAGAGAUCUGGAGGAAUACCGGUGGCGAAGGCGGCCCCCUGGACAAAGACUGACGCUCAGGUGCGAAAGCGUGGGGAGCAAACAGGAUUAGAUACCCCGGUAGUCCCUGUCUCUUAUAC